UGUCUCCCCAGUCCCUCCUAACAUAGCUGUUAGGUCUUUAAUACUGUCUGUCAGUCUCUACCUCUGUCUCUGUCUCCCCAGUCCCUCCUAACAUAGCUGUUAGGUCUUUAAUACUGUCUGUCAGUCUCUACCUCUGUCUCUGUCUCCCCAGUCCCUCCUAACAUAGCUGUUAGGUCUUUUACACUACUGUCUGUCAGUCUCUACCUCUGUCUCUGUCUCCCCAGUCCCUCCUAACAUAGCUGUUAGGUCUUUAACACUACUGUCUAUCAGUCUCUACCUCUGUCUCAGUCUCUACCUCUGUCUCUGUCUCCCCAGUCCCUUCUAACAUAGCUGUUAGGUCUUUAAUACUGUCUGUCAGUCUCUACCUCUGUCUCUGUCUCCCCAGUCCCUCCUAACAUAGCUGUUAGGUCUUUAAUACUGUCUGUCAGUCUCUACCUCUGUCUCUGUCUCCCCAGUCCCUACUAACAUAGCUGUUAGGUCUUUAAUACUGUCUGUCAGUCUCUACCUCUGUCUCUGUCUCC